rnacentral:rRNA from 1 species
AAACCAACAGGGAUUCCCUCAGUAGCGGCGAGUGAAGCGCCAAAAGCUCCAUUUUGAAAAGCGCUUCGGCCGCGUUGUACAAUGGUGUAGUCUAAAGUCUUUUACGUAAUUAAGUCCUCUGGAACGGGGCGCCAUAGAGGGUGAGAGCCCCGUGCAUUACUUCCGAGACCCCAGUCUACUCCGCGGAGUCGAGUUGUUUGGGAAUGCAGCUCUAAGUGGGUGGUAAAUUCCAUCUAAGGCUAAAUACUGGCGAGAGACCGAUAGCGAACAAGUACAGUGAUGGAAAGAUGAAAAGCACUUUGAAAAGAGAGUGAAAAAGUACGUGAAAUUGUUGAAAGGGAAGGGUAUUUGGCCCGACAUGAGUCCUAUGCACCGUUGCCUCUCGUGGGUGGCGUAAUGCUUGGGCUUGGCCAGCGUCAGUUUUGGGGGGGAGAAAAAGGUUGGUUGAUCCACUCUGUGGCUAUUCCUUCUGGAUAUCCCCACCUGGGACUGAGGACUGCCGUUGUAGGACGCUGGCAACAACGGCCAAAUACCGCCCGUCUUGAAACACGGACC